UACAGAGGGUGCGAGCGUUAAUCGGAAUUACUGGGCGUAAAGCGCACGUAGGUGGCGACGUAAGUCGGGUGUGAAAGCCCCGGGCUCAAUCUGGGAAUUGCAUUCGAGACUGCAUUGCUGGAGUACGGAAGAGGAGGGCGGAAUUCCCGGUGUAGCGGUGAAAUGCGUAGAUAUCGGGAGGAACAUCAGUGGCGAAGGCGGCCCUCUGGUCCAGUACUGACACUCAAGUGCGAAAGCGUGGGGAGCAAACAGG
rnacentral:rRNA from 1 species